UGGACGUUUGCGAUGGUUGCAAGACAAGGAGUACGAUCGAGCACAUCUUUACGUACUUGCAAACAGUGGCAUCUUAAGUGAUUAUGAAAGGCGAUUCGAGGAUUAUAUUGUCAAUUCAAGACCGAACAUUGCUAAGGAUGAUGUGUGGAGCAAAUGCGAAGCCGAGUUCCCUAGUUGGUUCAAGACAAAUGUCCUUGGUGCCAUGACAAGUGACGAUGUCACUCGAGCUCUUGCUAUGGGUCCUUCCAGACAAGUGAGAACGUGGAAUCAGUUCUUUGUGAAUGGAUAUAACUUUCAUACACAGGAAUAUGGCAAGAAUAAGUCAACUAUGAACUAUGGUGUAUGUGUACAAGCUGCUGAUAGAGCUGAUUACUUUGGCAUUUUGGAGGAGGUUAUUGAA